AACAGUAGGCACAAUAAUUAUAUAAUAUUUCAGGUGAACAGGGCCAGAAGAGCAAGUUCACCAAAAAUACAUUUGUUGCCAACAAUUUUUUUAUCCUCCUUAUCGAUUUAUAUCAAUUAGUUGGGUUACACUUAAUCUGUGUAGUCAAAUUUACCGGCUGUAAAUGUGCUACAUGUAUUCAUACUAUUAGCAAAUUAUCAAAGUUGACGCUUGCUAAGGUUAAGAUUCGAGUUAUUUUUUGAAAAAGUAUAAUUGUAAGGGUUAGGGAAAGGGUUAAGGUUAGCAAUAGGGUGAGGUUUAAGGUUAGAGUUAGUGUUAGUAGAUAGUUAAUUGAAAUGUUAUUGAUGGUCUGCAGCAUCUACCGAUUGACUAUCCAAAAGUGUUACUAUUAGUUGUUGCAGCCCUACUAAAGAGGGUUACUUUUUUAAUCCAUCACAGCGUUUCUGAAAUAAUAUUUUUGGGCCUUUCCAGAAAAAAACGUUUAGAGGUUUGAACAUGCCAGACAACAGAUGACAUGAGAGAAGGAAUUGGGACAUUAUGGAAGAAAAAUGUAAUAUGGGGUCUCCUUGAGCAGUCCUAUCACUUUUUAUUCAAGGAAAACUGUGUCCAGGUACUCUCUGAGUGUUGAAGGGUAAACCAUAUUUACAGCAGUCUUCAGUCUACAGGUCCUAUCCUUCACAAAGACGGGCUGUGGAAGAACUGCUGUUUUGUAUUCAUAUUUUAAAAAUUAAAUUUUUUUUAAGGUUUACAUUGAUUCAGUUGUUCUAGUACGAAUAUUGAAUGUGACCCAAUGAAGCCAAAAUAUGUCCCUAUUGUUUGUCUGCCUCCAGGUGGCUAUAGACCUUUAGGCCAGCAGUCAACAGGGAGGCCAAGGUCCCCAAGGGGUGCUCGGAGAAUAGCCAGGGAGCCUCGAGAUGACAAGGAAAAAUAAUGAUAGAAAUUAUUUGACACUAUUUUACUAUGAUUAUUUGACACUAUUUUACAAUAAUCCACAUAGCACCUAAAAUAUAGUGGCUUGCAAAAGUAUUCAAACCCCGUAACCAAUUUUCUCAUAUUUGUGAAUUACAAAUGGUUUAUUCUGAAAUAUAAUUCUGUUCCUAAACAUUAAAGCUACACUUCAUAGAAUUUGGGUCGUUUUUGCUAGCAAUACAGAAGAAAUUUGGUGGAAUCACCUUUCACUGCAGUAACAGCUUUAUGUAUUUUGAGGUACUUACAGAAAAUUUGACAGUAAUUUCAUUCACAAUGUCCUUAUUUGGGCAGUGUCAUCAGUGUUAACUGGGAGCUUCCCACAGCAUAUGGGUGAAAUUGAAGCAACAUGUUUCAGGUUUUUUUCUAACAUUGAAAUCAUUUCACCUUCAAUAUUUCAUUUUAAGUUUAAGGGUUUUAAAAUAUGUAUCAAACAGAACAAACUGUUCAUAUAUAAUUUUUAAUUCCGUAAUAUGAGGGGAUUGGUCAGCGGUGUGAAUACUUUUGCAAAGGACUGUACAUAAAUGAACAGCAACAUCUAUGAAUAUAAAAUCAUUCAUUUUAUAAUUUCUUGUUAUGAAAAGCGCCAAACUAGGAGUGUCUGCCAGUAAGAUCGUUAGCUACCUACCACCUUGCGAUUCUCAACCAAUCAUUUAAUGUCUCUGUUCAGGAUUGCCUCCUAACAUUUUUAAAACAUUACAUUUUUGUUCAUGCAUAAUAGAAUAGAUAAGUUGAAGGAAUGGACAGCUCUGAAAACUAAAACCUUGAGGAUGAUAUGCAUUUUGCCAUGUGAGAGAUCUUUCCAUGCAUUGGCCACAUUAUUUCCAGAAGCCAGCAGCAGUCCUCACAUUGUGUGAGCAGCUUUUGUAAUUACAGUCUGACAGUCUGUAUUUAUUUAAGAAUAAAAAGCAUAAAAAUGCACUUUUGUUUUUCUGUUUGUUGAAUGUCCACGUUAUCACUGUUUGUCCUCAGUUUUAUGUUUUAUAUUUUUAUGAAAUUGGACUAUGAUGUUUUUGUUGUUAGUUUUCACGUCCGUGAUUGAUUUCCUUUUUUGGUACGAACCAUGGGGAGACAUAUUUGAGUUUGAUAUUUAUCCUAAAUAACGGUGAUUAAAAGUCACUGCCCUAAUAAUGACUUGUUUUACAAGUUUACUUUGAACUUCACAUUUCUGUAUGUUGCUAUAUGGAUGUUUUGUAUCUCAAAAGAUUAUACUUUUGGUAAGCAUUUAUUGUCUAUUGAAAAAUUGAAUGGCUAGAGGGAUGGAUCUUAACAAUGGUUUCUCCAGAAAUAUUUAUUUUCUAUUUAUGAUUUAAUGUUAUGCAUAUUUAUUUCAGCAUUAUUCAACUUAUUUUAUUUCAUACAAUGAGGUAAACAUUCUAUUUUUUGCACAAAGUUGGCAAGGUUUGGUGCAUUCAGGUGAAUUUGAGUUUGCCUUGAUAUCAUUAGCUCCUGAGAUUAUGAUUUUAUGCUAAGUUAUUACAGGUAAUUGAGGAAAUGUUUGGAUUUUCCAGUCUUAUAUUUUUAUGGAAGAUAUGGCUAACAUAUGGAAUUCAUUAUCUGUAACAGCUCUUGCAUUUUUUAUCAACCAUUUGAAUAAAUGCUGACAUUCCUGUG
ensembl:lncRNA